GGGAAGGGGAACAAGAGGGAGGAAGGGAGGGAGAAGGAAAGGGAUUAGAAAGGGGAGAAAGAGAAUGGAAGAAAAAAAUGGAAACAAAGCUUUUGUAAGCGGGGAUGGAAAGAAAGGGUGAAGGGAGGAGAGGUGAGGGGAAGGGCUACGAUGUGCGCGCACAGACGCACGGUGAGGAGUGCGGCCACUGGGCAUGGCAGAUGUGUACCAGUAACGGCCGCACACAGUCACGCGAGUGUUGACCUCUCCCCUCUCCGAGUGGUCAAACUUGUCCCUAAGUAUGAGCUGGACGAGGUGGCGGCCACGUUUCCGCCCAGCUCAGCAGUGUACGGCGGCGGCGGCAGCCACCCUUCCAGUCUGCUCAGCUUUUCUUUCAUCGCCCAGGUGCCCACAGUCUGUCUGAUAACCUCAGUUUUAAGGUUUUAUCAGAACCCGUUUGUCAUUUACUCAUUCACAAGUGGAAAGCACAGCGCUAGGAGCUGUGGGGAUAUAAAAAGGCACAUGACCCAGGCUUUGUAUCCUCCAAAGACAUGGGACAUCCGACUGGAGAACGGGCAGAUGUAGGAGACUGGAUGCCAAAAAUCGGAAGCUAUCACCCAACAAUGAGAUUUGAGACAAAGGAGAAAGCUGAAGUCCCUGUGGGGAGCUUUUAGGAAGAAGGCGGCUGCGUGCCCAGCUCCAGGGCCCAAAUUGGGAUGCUCUGUCCACACUGCCACGCAGCCGUGUUCAAGUCCUCAGUCACGCUGGCCAAUGCUAAGUAAAAGCCCAUCCUCCUGCCUUGAGAAGCACACCUUCAAACUGCAGUAAAGGAACAGUGGGCACUUCCGAUAUGAUGGGAAGAGCAAAGUCAAACCAAGAAAUUUAAGGACUGUACAUUCCUGAACGUUCUACCGGUGAGCUGAUGCCAUUUAGAUGCUCAGAGAAAUAAAGAUACAACUCCAUACAAA
rnacentral:lncRNA from 1 species